CCGCUGAAAGCAUCUAAGCGGGAAGCCCCCCUCGAGAUAAGAUCUCACCAAAUCUCCAAGAUUUCUUAAGGGCCCUCGUAGACUACGAGGUUGAUAGGCGGGAUGUGUAAGCGCUGCGAGGCGUUGAGCUAACCCGUACUAAUUGCCCGUGAGGCUUGACCAUAUAACCGAG
rnacentral:rRNA from 1 species